CUGGCAGUAAACGGUGCACGUUUGGUAUGGGCGCAAUCGACCGCGCCCGUGCCGGAGCUAACGCGUUAAACGUGCCGCCUGGGAAGUACGGUCGCAAGAUUAAAACUCAAAGAAAUUGACGGGGACCCGCACAAGCGGUGGAGUAUGUGGCUUAAUUCGAUGCAACGCGAAGAACCUUACCUGGUCUUGACAUGCAUUGUGUCUCUGGUGAAAGCCAGAUAGGGUAGCAAUACCCGCUUUGCACAGGUGC
rnacentral:rRNA from 1 species